CGAUGGGCCGACGUCGCAUGCUCCCGGCCGCCAUGGUUAGAGUUUGAUCAUGGCUCAGAUUGAACGCUGGCGGCAGGCCUAACACAUGCAAGUCGAGCGGUAGAGAGAAGCUUGCUUCUCUUGAGAGCGGCGGACGGGUGAGUAAUGCCUAGGAAUCUGCCUAGUGGUGGGGGAUAACGUUCGGAAACGGACGCUAAUACCGCAUACGUCCUACGGGAGAAGCGGGGGACCUUCGGGCCUCGCGCCAUUAGAUGAGCCUAGGUCGGAUUAGCUAGUUGGUGAGGUAAAGGCUCACCAAGGCGACGAUCCGUAACUGGUCUGAGAGGAUGAUCAGUCACACUGGAACUGAGACACGGUCCAGACUCCUACGGGAGGCAGCAGUGGGGAAUAUUGGACAAUGGGCGAAAGCCUGAUCCAGCCAUGCCGCGUGUGUGAAGAAGGUCUUCGGAUUGUAAGGCACUUUAAGUUGGGAGGGAAGGGUAGUAACUUAAUACGUUGCUAUUUUGACGUUACCGACAGAAUAAGCACCGGCUAACUUCGUGCCAGCAGCCGCGGUAAUACGAAGGGUGCAAGCGUUAAUCGGAAUUACUGGGCGUAAAGCGCGCGUAGGUGGUUCAGUAAGUUGGAUGUGAAAUCCCCGGGCUCAACCUGGGAACUGCAUCCAAAACUGCUGAACUAGAGUACGGUAGAGGGGUGGUGAAAUUUCCUUUGUAACGGUGAAAUGCGUAAAUAUAGGAAGGAACACCAGUGGGCGAGGGCGACCACCUGGACUGAUACUGACACUGAGGGGCAAAACG
rnacentral:rRNA from 1 species